UCUUUAAUGGAGAGUUUGAUCCUGGCUCAGGACGAACGCUGGCGGCGUGCCUAAUACAUGCAAGUCGAGCGGGAUUAUUUAGAAGCUUGCUUCUAAAUAAUCUAGCGGCGGACGGGUGAGUAACACGUAGGCAACCUGCCCACAAGACAGGGAUAACUACCGGAAACGGUAGCUAAUACCCGAUACAUCCUUUUCCUGCAUGGGAGAAGGAGGAAAGACGGAGCAAUCUGUCACUUGUGGAUGGGCCUGCGGCG
rnacentral:rRNA from 1 species